AAAAAAUUAACCUAACAUAAUGUUGAAAUUAGACGUGACAUCGUCGGGAAAUUGAUGGAACAUGAUUAAUAUUCAAAUUCUAGCACAAAUUGUUAAUGGAUUACUGGACAAAGAAUCUGAAAUUCUUUCUUUAAAUGCUUUUGGUCUGCCUCCAAUUUUGUGCGUAUGGUCAGCCCUUUUUUUCUCUAGCAGCCGCCCAAUGGUGUGAUUUUGUGUGUAUUUAUAUUGCAAAUUUAGCCCAAUUCAACAUCCCCAAUGAUGGUUGUAAAAUGUCAACCAAUUGGCAGCCCCUUUUUGUGGUUUUUUGUCCCUUAAUUUCCCAACAGCCUCUGCCCCUUUUUUCUUCUUCAAUUUCUCAGUCGGCAGUCAUCCUUUCUUCUCUCUUUUU
rnacentral:lncRNA from 1 species